rnacentral:rRNA from 1 species
CAUACAUCGUCAGCGGCUAAGGGAAACCGAUAAGUGAGCCACCUGGGGAGUACGAUCGCAAGAUUGAAACUCAAAGGAAUUGACGGGGGCCCGCACAAGCGGAGGAACAUGUGGUUUAAUUCGAUGAUACGCGAGGAACCUUACCUGGGCUUAAAUGUAGAGUGCAUUACUUAGAAAUAGGUAUUUCCUUCGGGACUCUUUACAAGGUGCUGCAUGGUUGUCGUCAGCUCGUGCCGUGAGGUGUCGGGUUAAGUCCCAUAACGAGCGCAACCCCUAUCGUUAGUUACCAGCACGUAGUGGUGGGGACUCUAGCGAAACUGCCGGUGUAAACCGUGAGGAAGGUGGGGAUGACGUCAAAUCAGCACGGCCCUUAUGUCCAGGGCUACACACGUGUUACAACGGCCGGUACAACGGGCAGCCACAUAGCAAUAUGGAGCUAAUCUCAAAAGCCGGUCUCAGUUCGGAUUGGAGUCUGCAACCCGACUCCAUGAAGGUGGAUUCGCUAGUAAUCGCGCAUCAGCCAUGGCGCGGUGAAUACGUUCCCGGGCCUUGUACACACCGCCCGUCAAGCCAUGGAAGUUUGGGGUGCCUGAAGUUCGUAACCGCAAGGAGCGACCUAGGGUAAAACAAAUGACUGGGGCUAAGUCGUAACAAGGUAGCCG